ACUGUUUGUGCUUUGUUUGAUGUUGGGUGGGGGGGUCAGAAAGAGGGAAGUGGCCAUUGCCACGGAAACAUGGGAGCCCCUCUGGCCAGGGGGCCAGGCCUGGAUGAGCAGCCCAGAGGGGAUGGGCCUCCAGGCAUCACAGUGCACCGCUGCCCUUCUGCGGUGGGCAGGGGUCUCGGAGGACCAGAGAAGCUGGGGCCGGGAGCCUGCACCUGAGACGUCCUGGGAGCUGGCCUGCCCGCCACACGCCCCACUCUUCCCAGGCCACGUGGAAGACACUUGAAGUGGGCUGGUGGAAUGUCGCCCUGCCUCGGCUCCUUUCCCGUCAACAGGACCCUCUCCCUUCUCCCGGGUGCCGGCAUAGGGGUCAAAAGCCCCCCAGGAUUCUGAAUCACAGCUGCACACUCUGGGGGCACUGCCAUGUGGCUUUCUAGGAAGAAAAAGCACCUGCCUGAUUCCCAAGUCCCUCAGCCCCAAGGGACCACAGCUUCGGAAAGGGAUGUGGGGUGGGCACAGGGCGGGCAGGGGUCCACAAGAGAGCUGCAGGGGGUUCCGGGACAGCACUGGGCUGGGAAGUUGGGGGACUUGAGGCUAAGCUGCUGUGUGACCCUGGGGUUGUCAACUCCCUUCUCUGGGCCUCAGUUUCCCCCCCUCUCUAAAGUGGAAGGAGACAUUGCCCGAUGUCUAAUGCUAAAUCUGCAGGUGACUUGACUCCCAGCUUGGGAAGGGACCCUCUCCCUGCCCUAGAGGGGCUUCAGUCCCUCUCUACUCCAGCUUUCUUGACCCCCACACCUGUUUCUAGCCCCAGACCCCCC
rnacentral:lncRNA from 10 species